CCCCAUUUUGCCGUUAGUCAGUUUCCCUUCCCUCCCUUCCCCAGCGGGACCAAGGCAUAGCAGCAAGAACCCGCCCGGCGCCCGUCACAGGUCCAGCGAGUCCCCUCCAGGCCUCCAUCUCUUGUUCUGGCAACCCGUUCGACAGAAUGCCCCCAGAAGACGCGGCAGCGCAGGGGACGCCCGGAGGCGGUGGCGGUGGCGGUGACCGCCUCAGCCGCCUACCGGACAAGAUCCUGCUCCGGGUCAUGUCGCACCUCAAGGCGUGGGAGGCGGUGCGCACGUGCGUGCUCUCCAAGAGGUGGCGCCACCUGUGGGCCUCCAUGAACCGCCUCGACAUCCGCCAGCCGUGCCCCUGCGACGACGGCGACAUCGGCGCCGACGACCAUCCCCGGACGACGGUGUUCGCCGAAUUCGUCAAGAACCUGCUGCACCGGCGGCGGCAGCUGGUGCCGCUGGACUCGCUCCGCCUCUGCUGGAGCCACGAGGAUGGUGACGGGGACGCCAACCUCUGGAUCGCCUACGCCGUCAGGCACGGCGCGGAGGAGAUCGAGCUCUCCGGGGAGCAUCACGCGGUGUACCCGUCGCCAGAGUACACGAGCUUCGUUAUUGCUGGCUAUGACUUCAUCAAGACUCGCCUCAGGAUCCUGAAGUUUAUCCAUGUCCGGCUGGAUGGCACCACCCUCACGCAGCUCAGCGCUAGGUGCACUUGUUUGGAAGAGAUAGAGCUCACGGAUUGUCAAAUACCUGAGGCCAGCGAGAUUCGGACCACCAAGCUGAAGCGUUUGGCCAUGAUCAAGUGCAAAAUCCCUACGGGCAUCCUCUCUGUUUAUGCCCCAAACCUUGUCUCGCUGCAGUUCAGCAGCAACUUUGGCUAUGUUCCGUGGAUCCAGAACUUGGGGUUGCUAGCAGCAUCCAAUGUAAACCAAUGGGUAACGCAUAAGUACCCUGACUGCUCUGGUCCCGGUUCUUGCAACCUUAAGAUCUUGAAGCUCUCUCGUGUCAAGCUGGAUGACACCACCCUCGCGCAGCUCUGUUCGAGGUGUACUUCUUUGGAAGGACUAGAGCUCAAGGAUUGUUCAGUAGAGGGCAGGCAGAUUGGAUCCAUCUCACUCAAGUAUUUGACUAUGAUCAGCUGCAAAUUCUCUAUUGGAUUCAGGGUUCAUGCUCCAAACCUUGUCUUGCUGCGCUGCAUCAAGCCUUUUCAGCACUUCCCUCAGAUCCAGAAAAUGGAAUUCCUAGUCACAGCAGCUAUUGUUCUUGAUGACUCUUGCUUGCUUUCUGAUUGUCAAUGGCCACAGAAGGAGGAUGACUCAGAUGACAGCAACAAUGAAUCUGAUGGUGACUCUGGUGAUAGCAAAAACAACGAAUCUGAUGGUAGUAGUAUCUACUAUGAUUCUGAUCGUGAUCGGUCCACACCAAGUGAUGAGGACGAUGACUGUACUCUGAGUUAUAGUGUGAUUGCAGAGGACCGAUACAGAGAAUCCAAGUAUUUGAUUUAUGGUCAUCAACGCAGAGGAGAUGAACCUGUGAAAAGUUGCGAUGGAGAGUAUGGGAGCAAGAUUUCUAGUGAAUUUGGUGGUGUUGGUAUGCUUUGCAGCCUCUCACAUGUUAAAACAAUGGACCUGUUAGCUCAUCCAGGAGAGGUCUAAGAUAGCGUAUUGGUCUCCAUUCAAUCAGAAUACCUUCAGCGGGUCCCUAUUGUACUUUUAUGAUGGAAAUGUUAUAACGUUCUUCACUGACAAUUCAGGGACUGUGAGAUAUUUACCGUUAAUGUGAAUAAAUUUAGCUACAUGAAAAAGUUUAUUGUCUUUAAUAUGUUUCCUAUCCUACUGAACCUAAUGUAGUAGUGCAAUUGCUCAAUGUCAGAAAAAGUUUCAAUCACUACCAUUGCUACUGAACUUUGAUCCUAACUUAUAGUUUGAUGUCCUAAAGUGUACAGACCCUAGAAUUAAGAUUUAAUUAAUAUUUUGUAUGGAAACUGUUUGUUUGGAUUUCGCCAGAAUAUGUUUUUUCAUUUUAAGGGAGAACUGUCUUAAACACUGCAGAAUUGACUUGAGGUAGAACAAAAAUAUAAUAACUUGCAACCUUCCAUAUCAACAGAAUUAUAGAUUGUCAUUAUGGAAUGUUCAUUUCUGGUUCAUUUGUGAACCUGGUGCUAAAAGGGAUAUAACUUCCACCGUAAUAUAGUGUUGGUCCAUUAUGAUUAUUGAUUACAAUGUUGUGCUUUUCAAUUAUGCUGUGUUGAAUUAUCACUGUAUAAUGUUGUAGUCCAUUUAGCUAAUGGCUAUGGUUGAAAAGCACAUUGAUGACAGAAUUAUUUCUAAUACAAAAUGUGCAGGUGCUGCUGACGAGGGAAUUGAAAUUUAGCACUGAAUUCAAAAACCUGAAAAUUCUGUCCCUCGGUGAAUGGUGUAUAACUCCUGGCUUUGAUGAAUUAGCAUCCAUACUUGGGCACUCACCAAACUUAGAGAAGCUUUUUCUUCACCUUGACAUGGCAUAUAACAAAAGAUUGGGAUUCCUUAGAAUUACAAGGUCGUUCGUGUGCACCAAGCUGAAGAUGGUGAAGAUCACAUGCUGUAAGCGUGAUGUGAUGGUCCAUAGAUUGGCAGAAUUCUUCAGUCAGAAUAGCAUACCACCUGAGAUGAUUUUUGUCCAUCGGACUGCCUGCUCUGGAUGUCAGGGAAGGAAGGCUCCAGGUGAAGCGCAAGGCGCAAAGCGAAGCUGAAAAGAGAUAAGCAAAGAAGAUGAAUGCAGGAAACUGAGGAAGCCCACAUGAUGAGGUUUCCGUUGAUGUCAAAACUGUAAUUGUGUUGGUGAAGUACAAUAUGAGUUGGGGCAGCUUUUGUAGCUGUCAGAGAUAAGCAAAGAAGAUGAAUGCAGGAAACUGAGGAAGCCCCACAUGAUGAGGUUUUCGUUGAUGUCAAAACUGUAAUUGUGUUGGUGAAGUACAAUAUGAGUUGAGGCAGCUUUGUAGCUGUCAGAGAUAAGCAAAUAAGAUGAAUGCAGGAAACUGAGGAAGCCCCACAUGAUGAGGUUUUCGUUGAUGUCAAAACUGUAAUUGUGUUGGUGAAGUACAAUAUGAGUUGGGGCAGCUUUGUAGCUGUCAGUGA